rnacentral:tRNA from 1 species
UGCAGUUGUGGCUCAGUGGUAGAGCACUUGCUUAACAUGUGUGAGGCACUGGGUUUAAUUCUCAGCACUGUAU